rnacentral:tRNA from 1 species
AUGGAUGUAGCGCAGUUGGUAGCGUUCCGCAUUUGGGAUGCGGAGGUCGCAGGUUCGAGUCCUGCCAUCCAUA